CCUGAAGUUUUCCGCUCUUAUCUUCCCUUUUCUUCUCUGCAACCCCUUCCCAAUUAGGGCACUUUCUUGUCAAGAUCCAAGGUCUAACCUGAAUUUCGUCUAUGACGGCCUUUUUUUCUAUCAAUCUGCAUUUAAUUGGUUCUGUUUUCUCUUUUUCUUAAGAAGAGAUUCUGGAUAAACUUUUGAAGGCACAUAACUGCCAUGGAUAAUGAGAUGACAUAUCUGGUUCAUUUCCUCGAACAUUAAGCUGACGCGGAAGGUUACUCCAGAAAUGGUUGCCGCCCUUUUGAGCUACGAUAAUUGAAUGCAGGAGCUUUGGAAGCAGAUUAACAAGCAUAUAUCUUUGAAGACAAGUGAAUUUCAUCAGACCAAGUUAGGAAGAAGACCAAAGUUUUGUUAUUUGGUUAUCUUUCUUCUAAUGAUUCAAAAAAUGUUUAAUCCUUCUUUUGAACAGAAUCCCUUGCCGUAUGUGAUUUGCCCCUUAGAAUUUAUUUAUGUAAAUACAGCUGAUUGUAUUAAUUGUAAGUUAAAUUUGUAAAUAAAAGAAAGUUUUCAGUUUGCAA